UGGCUUAAUUCUGCAACGACACUGCAGAUUGGUGCGUGGAAUCUUCCAUACAAUAAAGGAGCCAUCGGAUACCUUCUUGGCUAUUACUCAAAUGAUGGUUAUUUUAAAAGUUGCUCCUUGUAUCCGGUUAAGAUUCGUAUCAGGGAGAUCCGAAUUUACCGGGAAGAGCUGUUUCAGUCAGUAACCGGCAGGUGCAAGUACUCUGAUGGCAAGGGACGUUCUUGUCAAGGGGUGUAUCACCGUGAUGAUGGUAAUAUACUACACUUUGGUACGGGAACCAAACUCAUCGUCACAGAUGUGAAACCCCAGCCUCCGAUACUUCGUAUUUUCCCACCCGAUCGUAAGGAUCUGGUUGAAAAGGAUAAAUUUUUUGUGGCUUGCCUGGUGACCAACUUCUUCCCCGAAGUGAUCAAAGUCGACUGGGAAGUCCCUGCAACCCAAAAUCGAAAAAUUCUGACAGAGCCGGUGAAGAAAAUGAGCAAUGGUAACUACUCGCUGAUUAGCCGCGUGGAAAUCUCCAAAGACGAAUGGAACAAGCAAACGAUCACUUGCAAGGUGGGGCACGAGACCGGAAGCGAGAAAAAAGUAUCAACUAGCAGUGCAAUUAGAAGCGCUACUUCCGAAAACAAUGAUCAUGGAGCAGCCACCUGUCCAUCCGCCGAGGAAGAAUUACAGAAGAGCACGGAUGAAGAAACAUCUUCCACUUCACUGCGGGUCGCGAUCGUGACAUAUACCGCUCUACUGACGAAGAGCGUGUUAUACUGCUGCAUCAUUUCGUUCGUCGUUUACAAGAUGGAGUACCGCGGUACGAAGAAGUCAACGUAACUCGCAUUACGAACAAUGUAUAGUUUGAUAAUGUCUUCCAUUUCAGUGUAAGCUUUCCCUCUGAUUUCUUCGUGGUAUACCAAGAAUUUUUACAUCCUGUUGCAAGCCACAUGGCUUUUGGGCGAGAGAUGGGGCAAGUUUCCGGGUGACUACAGUGCAAAAUAGCUAGAAACAGCAGCAUGUUUUCCUCUUGUGGGAAAAUGGUUAGGGUUGUUCUUCAAGCGAUUUUUAAUGCUGAAUGUUUGCUAUUAGUUUGCCGGCUUUUAUAUUGUCAUGUUAUUUUGCAUUUAUCAUUGUGUAAAUCAGACAAUAAACUAGUCAGUAAGAUUUAU